rnacentral:rRNA from 1 species
GCUCAACCGAGGAAGUGCUUCGAAAACUGGUAAACUUGAGUGCAGAAGAGGAAAGUGGAACUCCAUGUGUAGCGGUGGAAUGCGUAGAUAUAUGGAAGAACACCAGUGGCGAAGGCGGCUUUCUGGUCUGUAACUGACGCUGAGAUUCGAAAGCAUGGGUAGCAAACAGGAUUAGAUACCCUGGUAGUCCAUGCCGUAAACGAUGAGUGCUAAGUGUUGGAGGGUUUCCGCCCUUCAGUGCUGCAGCUAACGCAUUAAGCACUCCGCCAGGGGAGUACGAUCGCAAGAUUGAAACUCAAAGGAAUUGACGGGGGCCCGCACAAGCGGUGGAGCAUGUGGUUUAAUUCGAAGCAACGCGAAGAACCUUACCAGGUCUUGACAUACCAUGAAAAGCUUAGAGAUAAGUCUUUCCCUUCAGGGACAUGGAUACAGGUGGUGCAUGGUUGUCGUCAGCUCGUGUCGUGAGAUGUUGGGUUAAGUCCCGCAACGAGCGCAACCCUUAUUAUCAGUUGCCAGCAUUCAGUUGGGCACUCUGGUGAGACUGCCGGUGAUAAACCGGAGGAAGGAGGGGACGACGUCAAAUCAUCAAGCCCCUUAUGACCUGGGCUACACACUUGCUACAAUGGUCGGUACAACG